AGCGGCGGACGGGUUAGUAACGCGUGGGAAUAUACCCAAAGGUAGGGAAUAGCCUCUGGAAACGGAGAGUAAUACCCUAUGUGCCCUUCGGGGGAAAGAUUUAUCGCCUUUGGAUUAGCCCGCGUUAGAUUAGAUAGUUGGUGGGGUAAUGGCCUACCAAGUCUACGAUCUAUAGCUGGUUUUAGAGGAUGAUCAGCAACACUGGGACUGAGACACGGCCCAGACUCCUACGGGAGGCAGCAGUGGGGAAUCUUGGACAAUGGGCGCAAGCCUGAUCCAGCCAUGCCGCGUGAGUGAUGAAGGCCUUAGGGUCGUAAAGCUCUUUCGCCAGGGAUGAUAAUGACAGUACCUGGUAAAGAAACCCCGGCUAACUCCGUGCCAGCAGCCGCGGUAAUACGGAGGGGGUUAGCGUUGUUCGGAAUUACUGGGCGUAAAGCGCGCGUAGGCGGAUCAGAAAGUUGGGGGUGAAAUCCCAGGGCUCAACCCUGGAACUGCCUCCAAAACUCCUGGUCUUGAGUUCGAGAGAGGUGAGUGGAAUUCCGAGUGUAGAGGUGAAAUUCGUAGAUAUUCGGAGGAACACCAGUGGCGAAGGCGGCUCA
rnacentral:rRNA from 1 species